ACAUGUCAUUUAUUUGAAAGGGGCAAUUGCUCCACUACAAGAUGGACCUGCGUUGUAUUAGCUAGUAGGUGAGGUAACGGCUCACCUAGGCGACGAUACAUAGCCGACCUGAGAGGGUGAUCGGCCACACUGGGACUGAGACACGGCCCAGACUCCUACGGGAGGCAGCAGUAGGGAAUCUUCGGCAAUGGGGGCAACCCUGACCGAGCAACGCCGCGUGAGUGAAGAAGGUUUUCGGAUCGUAAAGCUCUGUUGUAAGUCAAGAACGAGUGUGAGAGUGGAAAGUUCACACUGUGACGGUAGCUUACCAGAAAGGGACGGCUAACUACGUGCCAGCAGCCGCGGUAAUACGUAGGUCCCGAGCGUUGUCCGGAUUUAUUGGGCGUAAAGCGAGCGCAGGCGGUUUGAUAAGUCUGAAGUUAAAGGCUGUGGCUCAACCAUAGUUCGCUUUGGAAACUGUCAAACUUGAGUGCAAAAGGGGAGAGUGGAAUUC
rnacentral:rRNA from 1 species